UUUGAUCCUGGCUCAGAUUGAACGCUGGCGGCAGGCCUAACACAUGCAAGUCGAACGGUAACAUUUCUAGCUUGCUAGAAGAUGACGAGUGGCGGACGGGUGAGUAAUGCUUGGGAACUUGCCUUUGCGAGGGGGAUAACAGUUGGAAACGACUGCUAAUACCGCAUAAUGUCUACGGACCAAACGGGGCUUCGGCUCCGGCGCAAAGAGAGGCCCAAGUGAGAUUAGCUAGUUGGUAAGGUAACGGCUUACCAAGGCGACGAUCUCUAGCUGUUCUGAGAGGAAGAUCAGCCACACUGGGACUGAGACACGGCCCAGACUCCUACGGGAGGCAGCAGUGGGGAAUAUUGCACAAUGGGGGAAACCCUGAUGCAGCCAUGCCGCGUGUGUGAAGAAGGCCUUCGGGUUGUAAAGCACUUUCAGUUGUGAGGAAAAGUUAGUAGUUAAUACC
rnacentral:rRNA from 1 species